rnacentral:rRNA from 1 species
GACGUAGGGUGCGAGCGUUGUCCGGAUUUAUUGGGCGUAAAGAGCUCGUAGGCGGCUUGUCGCGUCGGCUGUGAAAACUCGAGGCUCAACUUCGAGCUGUCGGUGGAAACUUUCUGGCUAGAGUCCGGAAGAAGAGAAUGGAAUUCCUGGUGUAGCGGUGAAAUGCGCAGAUAUCAGGAGGAACACCGGUGGCGAAGGCGGGUCUCUGGGCCGUAACUGACGCUGAGGAGCGAAAGCGUGGGGAGCGAACAGG